CCCAGACAGCCAGGAUGUUGGCUUAGAAGCAGCCAUCAUUUAAAGAAAGCGUAAUAGCUCACUGGUCGAGUCGGCCUGCGCGGAAGAUGUAACGGGGCUAAACCAUGCACCGAAGCUGCGGCAGCGAACGUAUCACCCAAGACAACUUUACGGAGUUGACGAUUGACGGAGCGAAGCGACGUCAAAGCGUUCAUUAAAGUCGAGUUGGCUUAGGGAUACGUUCGUUGGGUAGGGGAGCGUUCUGUAAGCCUG
rnacentral:rRNA from 2 species